AUGUCCCCAUGGUCAUCCAGGCCAUGGUCACUCCAUAGGGGUGUCCCCUCAGUGUCCUCAGCCGUGGUCACCCCCCAGGUGAUGUCCCAAUGGUGGCCUCGAUGUCCCCUCAGUGAUCCCAGUGAUGACCACAAUGUCCCCUCAGUGGUCCCAAUGGUGGCCAUGGUGUCCCCCAGGUGUCCCAGCCAUGGUGGCCUCAAUGUCCCCUCAAUGGUGGCCUCGAUGUCCCCUCAAUGUCCCGAUGUCCCCUCAAUGUCCUCUCAGUGGUGGCCUCGAUGUCCCCUCAAUGUCCCCUCUUUGGUGGCCUCAAUGUCCCCUUUGUGGUCCCAGUGGUGGCCUCAGUGUCCCCAGGUGAUCCCAGCCAGGGCCACCCCCCAGGUGUCCCCCAGUCCCCUCCCGGUGUCCCCAGUUUGUCCCUGUCCCUCUUUGCACUUUAUGCUCAGAUGUCCCCUGGCUCUGUCCCCGUGUGCCCAGGGUGGCAGUGAGGGGACAAUGAGGGGACAGCAGGGCCACCCCUGUGCCCUUUGUCCCUUUGUCCUUGUCCCUUCUGGGCCCUCGGUGUCCCCACCCUGUCCAGGGGACACCCAGGGGUGCUGCCACCCGACUGGGGACACCCCAAAGUGGUGGCACCUGAGAAUUUGGGGACACCCCGACUUGGGGACACCCAGAAUUGUCCCCUCGGGCACGGGGGGUGGAGGGACCCGGUCCCGUAUGAAGCCCCUGGGGACACCUUGGGGACAGUCCUGGGACCACCUUGGGGACAUUCCCAGGGACACCUCAGGGACAUUCUGGGGACAUUCCCGGUGCUCCAGAGCCUCUGGACUUGGUGACAUUGGUGUCCCCAGGGUGGUGACAGAGCCUGCAGGGUCCUUGCCCUGUCCCCACCCCUGGGGACGCCUUGGGGACACUCCCAGGGACACUCCCAAGGCCACCUUGGGGACACCUC
rnacentral:lncRNA from 1 species